rnacentral:rRNA from 1 species
GAUGAACGCUGGCGGCGUGCCUAAUACAUGCAAGUCGAGCGAACGGACGAGAAGCUUGCUUCUCUGAUGUUAGCGGCGGACGGGUGAGUAACACGUGGAUAACCUACCUAUAAGACUGGGAUAACUUCGGGAAACCGGAGCUAAUACCGGAUGAUAUUUUGAACCGCAUGGUUCAAAAGUGAAAGACGGUCUUGCUGUCACUUAUAGAUGGAUCCGCGCUGCAUUAGCUAGUUGGUAAGGUAACGGCUUACCAAGGCAACGAUGCAUAGCCGACCUGAGAGGGUGAUCGGCCACACUGGAACUGAGACACGGUCCAGACUCCUACGGGAGGCAGCAGUAGGGAAUCUUCCGCAAUGGGCGAAAGCCUGACGGAGCAACGCCGCGUGAGUGAUGAAGGUCUUCGGAUCGUAAAACUCUGUUAUUAGGGAAGAACAUAUGUGUAAGUAACUGUGCACAUCUUGACGGUACCUAAUCAGAAAGCCACGGCUAACUACGUGCCAGCAGCCGCGGUAAUACGUAGGUGGCAAGCGUUAUCCGGAAUUAUUGGGCGUAAAGCGCGCGUAGGCGGUUUUUUAAGUCUGAUGUGAAAGCCCACGGCUCAACCGUGGAGGGUCAUUGGAAACUGGAAAACUUGAGUGCAGAAGAGGAAAGUGGAAUUCCAUGUGUAGCGGUGAAAUGCGCAGAGAUAUGGAGGAACACCAGUGGCGAAGGCGACUUUCUGGUCUGUAACUGACGCUGAUGUGCGAAAGCGUGGGGAUCAAACAGGAUUAGAUACCCUGGUAGUCCACGCCGUAAACGAUGAGUGCUAAGUGUUAGGGGGUUUCCGCCCCUUAGUGCUGCAGCUAACGCAUUAAGCACUCCGCCUGGGGAGUACGACCGCAAGGUUGAAACUCAAAGGAAUUGACGGGGACCCGCACAAGCGGUGGAGCAUGUGGUUUAAUUCGAAGCAACGCGAAGAACCUUACCAAAUCUUGACAUCCUUUGACAACUCUAGAGAUAGAGCCUUCCCCUUCGGGGGACAAAGUGACAGGUGGUGCAUGGUUGUCGUCAGCUCGUGUCGUGAGAUGUUGGGUUAAGUCCCGCAACGAGCGCAACCCUUAAGCUUAGUUGCCAUCAUUAAGUUGGGCACUCUAAGUUGACUGCCGGUGACAAACCGGAGGAAGGUGGGGAUGACGUCAAAUCAUCAUGCCCCUUAUGAUUUGGGCUACACACGUGCUACAAUGGACAGUACAAAGGGCAGCGAAACCGCGAGGUCAAGCAAAUCCCAUAAAGUUGUUCUCAGUUCGGAUUGUAGUCUGCAACUCGACUACAUGAAGCUGGAAUCGCUAGUAAUCGUAGAUCAGCAUGCUACGGUGAAUACGUUCCCGGGUCU